rnacentral:lncRNA from 1 species
ACUUUCAAAUUUUGCUGAAAAAGUAAUUGUUAAAGACAACUAAAAUAUUAAAUAGUGCUAUUUAUUUCAAAUUUGGUUAAUAUUUAUUGAAUUGUUUAUAAUUCUGUUCCAGGGAUUGAGAAGGAGGGCUUCCUGUUGACAGAUCAGGGGGUGCCUUGAGGUUCCACUCUUGAUGUUCUGCCCCUUACCUGAAAGCGAUGGCCUCUUGUGCCUGACAUAUUAGGAGCAAAGCACAAUGGACUGCUGGCUUAUUGGAAUAGGUUACAAAGAUACAAGUGGACUUGUCUGUAGUAGUUGCUGAAGAGGAGCAGUCAGCACAAGGAGCGUGUGCCUCCGAAACAACGUGGGAACUUCUCCCAAGUUCAUCUCAAAUCACAAGGCUCUUCAGGAAUCAAGAUGUAACAAUGGAGGUUGAGAAGGAGUUUGCGACCCUCCUGAUUUGGACUACUCGCUAUAUACAUUCUCAAACAAUGGAUUGUAGCACUUCUGCACAAAACUCAACAAGUCAUGAUUGAGGAAAAUGCAACAAAUACUCAGUUGAGCAUUGAUUUAUGUGACUGGUAUUAGGGUAGGAUUCAGCUUGGUAAUUUUAUAUAAACUAUGUCCCAAAAGAACCUCAUUGGUCCUUAUGGUUCCACGCCACAAGCUGCUCCCUCCCCUGUUUCGGUAUACCGAACCCAGACUAUCAAGGGAUCAAAUGAAUUAAAAUCCACACUUGAUUACAAAUGAA